CUGGGGGUCUGUGCACCCCUCCCCCAGCCUGACAGUGUUGCUCCCUCCCAGGCAUGCCAAGGUGAAGGGCAAGUUCAAGGAGUCAUACCUGUCGCCUGCCCAGUCCGUCAAGCCCCACAUCAACUCGGAGGAGAAGCUGCCGCGGGACAAGCUCAACCCCCCCACACCCAGCAUCUACCUGGAAAGCAAGCGGGAUGCCUUCUCACCCGUCCUGCUUCAGUUCUGCACUGACCCCAAGAACCCCAUCACUGUCAUCCGGGGGCUGGCCGGCUCCCUACGCCUCAACCUGGGCCUGUUCAGCACAAAGACGCUGGUGGAGGCGAGUGGGGAGCAUGCGGUAGAAGUGCGCACCCAGGUGCAGCAGCCCUCAGAUGAGAACUGGGACCUCUCGGGCACCCGCCAGGUCUGGCCCUGUGAGAGCAGCCGCUCCCACACUACCAUCGCCAAAUAUGCCCAGUACCAGGCCUCUUCUUUCCAGGAGUCCCUGCAGGUCAGUGCCAGGCCAGG